UGCUCACUUCAUGUCUCUGUGCCACAUUUGGAAUGAAGAGAAUCUGAACUAAGAUGGGGUGAAAGUAGGAAAUCAUUCCCCCAUGUCAAGUGCAAGGGCUAUCCAGUUAGAGGCCAACACAGAUGUCUGAUCAAAGGCCAAUCUAGAAAAUACUGUAUACGAGCUAUGAUUUUUCUCGAGAAUAUCAUUGCCAUGACACAGUUGAAGUCCUGCAUCCCAUGAGUCAUACACAUCUGUUGUGAAUACUGAUCUUGUCCUUGAGCUCCCCUGGGAUUCCAAAUUGGAACAUAAAGAGAAGCAAGAAAAUGGACAUUUAGCACUUAUAGGAUAAUUCUAUUGUAUUCCUGCUGAGAGAAAGAAUUUCAUACACCGAGUGCUUCUUCUGCUUGAAGCCCCUCUGCUUUGAAGUGGUGCGAUCUCCCCUUUUAACCUCAGCAGUGGGGCCACCUCAACCCAUAACAGCACUGAGAAGCAGUCAUCUUGUUUUGAGAUCACAAAGUAUGUGAGGUGUAUCCCUGGCAUCUGGACGGUGCUAGUCACGAGAGUAGAUGUUAGGUUGCGGGCAUGCCAUGCC
rnacentral:lncRNA from 1 species